rnacentral:rRNA from 1 species
UUCUUUCUAGAUACACUUUCCAGUACAUCUACUUUGUUACGACUUAUUUCAUUUUAAAAUGAAAGCGACGGGCGAUAUGUACAUAUUUUAGAGCUAAAAUCAUUUUAAAUAAAUUUAUUAAAAUUACAUUCAAAUCCAAAUUCAAAUUUUUAUAAUAAAAAUUAUCCUUAAAUAAAUUUAAUGUAACCCAUCUCUCCUUUAAUAUAAACUACACCUUGAUCUGAUUUAUUUUUUAAUAAAAAUUCUUGAAUAUUAAUAUUCUAAUAAAAUAUUCAAACUACGACGAUAUGUAAAUUAAUAAUUAAAGUAAAUAUUAUCGUGGACUAUCAAUUACAGGACAGGUUCCUCUGAAAAGACUAAAAUACCGCCAAAUUUU